rnacentral:rRNA from 1 species
GGUGUGAAUUGCAUCCAAGUAACUCUAAUUUACGAAUAACACCAAGUGAAUCAUCGAGUCUUUGAACGCAAUUGCGCCCUCUCGGUUGCUUCCAAUUGGGGGUUGACUCAUAGGGGGUACAUCUGUUUGAGGGUCAUUUGAAUCUCUCAAAGGGUUGGUUUUAAUCUGUCCUUUGGAUUUUGGGUCUUGCUGUGAAAUUCAUCUCAGCUUACCUUGAAAGCAUUAGCAAGCUGUUCCAGGUCUUUUCUUGAUGAGGGCAUUCUAACUGGUCGGGUCUAAAGAGCUUCAUUGGUUGAAUCUCAAGCAUUCACCGAAUUGGUCUUGAGUGGUGCUUUCAAUGAUCCAUGAUAAAUGUCUCAAUCACAAAAAGUCUCAAUGUGAUUCAAACUUGCUUCUAAUCAUCCCAUAGAGGGGAUGGGCUCUCAAUGAGCUCUUUCAAAAAAGAAACUCAAUGACCUCAAAUCAGAUGAGAAUACCCGCUGAACUUAAGCAUAUCAAUAAGCGGAGGAAAAGAAACUAACAAGGAUUCCCUCAGUAACGGCGAGUGAAGAGGGAAGAGCUCAGUUUUGAAAUCUGGCAGUCAUUCCACUGUCCGAGUUGUAAAUUGAAGAGAAUGUCAUCCACACUGGACCAUGUCUAAAUUGUAAUAAUCCACAGUCCUUUGAUGGAGUAUCAGAGAGGGUAAUAAUCCCGUCUUUAACGUGGACCACCAGUGUUUAUGUGAUGCACUCUCUCAGAGUCGAGUAGUUUGGGAAUGCUGCUCUAAUGGGAGGUAAACUCCUUCUAAAGCUAAAUAUUGGCGAGAGACCGAUAGCGAACAAGUACCGUGAGGGAAAGAUGAAAAGAACUCUGAAAAGAGAGUCAAACAGAACGUGAAAUUGCUGAAAGGGAAGCGUUUGGAGUCAGAUGCAUCCUCAAUGUAAUACGGCUCAGUUGGCAGAGACUGAGAGCAGUGACUUGAAGAUGGGCCAGCACUCACGUAGAUCAUUGGAGAAGGGGUCAUGGAAUGUAGCUCAAUUCUUGAGUGUUUAUAGACUUGAUUCAUAUACAAUGUGUCUUAUGUGUGUUAAUUGACAGCACGAGUCAUGACUCAGUGCUGACUGGCAUAAU